GGGCGGUUCGCCUAGCUGGCAAUGGCACCACUCCUACAAAGUGGAAUAAGACAGGUUCAAAUCCUGUACCGCCCACCA
rnacentral:tRNA from 1 species